UUGGACACAGCAUGGACAUGAGGGCUCCUGCUCAGCUCCUAGGGCUCUUGCUGCUCUGCCUCCCAGGUUUCAGAUGUGACAUUCAGAUGACCCAGUCUCCAUCUUCUCAUUCUGCAUCUGUAGGAGACGUUGUUACCAUCAAUUGCAAGGCCAGUCAUAACAUAGGCAGCUAUUUAGCCUGGUAUCAACAGAAACCAGGGAAAGAGCCUAAAUUUCUGAUAUAUUAUGCAUCUAGAUUAACAUCUGUGAUCCCCUCCAGGUUCAGUGGCAGUGGAUCUGGGACAGACUUCACUCUCACCAUCAGCAGCCUGCAGCCUGAAGAUGUUCUAACUUAUUUCUGUCAGCAGCAUAAUAGUUACCCUCUCACAGUGAUACAAGCCAUAACAAAAACUACCCAGAGAAGCAGAAGUGUGAGGCUGGGCAGCCCCAUUGCUCUUUCUGACACCUUUAGCUGUUGA